rnacentral:rRNA from 1 species
GACGAACGCUGGCGGCGUGCUUAACACAUGCAAGUCGAACGGUAAGGCUCCAGCUUGCUGGGGUACACGAGUGGCGAACGGGUGAGUAACACGUGGGUGACCUGCCCUGCACUUCGGGAUAAGCCUGGGAAACUGGGUCUAAUACCGGAUAGGACCGCACCGUGAGGGUGUGGUGGGAAGUUUUUUCGGUGUGGGAUGGGCCCGCGGCCUAUCAGCUUGUUGGUGGGGUAAUGGCCUACCAAGGCGGCGACGGGUAGCCGGCCUGAGAGGGUGGACGGCCACAUUGGGACUGAGACACGGCCCAGACUCCUACGGGAGGCAGCAGUGGGGAAUAUUGCACAAUGGGCGGAAGCCUGAUGCAGCGACGCCGCGUGGGGGAUGACGGCCUUCGGGUUGUAAACUCCUUUCACCAUCGACGAAGGGUUUCUGACGGUAGAUGGAGAAGAAGCACCGGCUAACUACGUG